CUAAAUUUUAAACUUUAAUUCUAAACUGUAAACCCUAAACUCUAAACCUAAAAUUAUAAACCUAAUGUCAGCGUUAAUGUUAGCGUCAUUCCUUUAAGGUUUAAGGUUUAUAUGGUUUAAGGUUUAAGUCUUAGUGUUUAGGGUUUAGGGUUUAAGUUUUCGGAGUUUAGAGUUUAGGGUUUAUGUUUUAGUUUUAAGGGUUUAGUGUUAAGGAUUUUACUGACGGCUACGUAGGUGUCGUUCCUUUUUUCAGCUAUUUUUUAAAAAAUUUAAUUAUGUUUUAUUAAUCAUACGUGAUACUUCGAUUGGGUAAUAAGAUAUGAAGUGAAUUUGACCGUUCAGCGUAGGGGGAGCACAAGUAUUGUUCGUCAACGAAUACAGAUGACAUAAUCUGGCCCAUAUUUAAUAUUUUGGGACGAAACGAACCACAUCCGCCACGCAAAUAAUAUGUAACCUCUCCAGUCAAAAUCGAAUAAUGAGACAUCGUCAACUUAAAAGACGACUUGACUUUUGUUUUAUUCUGACUGACCCGCGACUAUUAAAAGAGAGCUCUAUGGACCGAAAAAGAGAUGGGCUUUUCUCCAAAGAAUUAAGAGACAUAAAAUUAGUGACCCUGAUUUAAAUUAUAGCGACCCCUAAACGAUAUAUUGAAUAAACACUUUGAAUUCACUAUUCAACAUGUGGCGGUCUGAGGAAACAAAUCAGGAAUCUUUUUACGCGAUAAAAGUAUUUCGAAAAUGGGAGACCUAUCAGGCCAACUCCUAAAGAGAGGGAACGACGACACAACAUCCAUCACAAAGAAAAAAAUACCUCUCGAGAUCCUUUUUCCCUCAAGCUACUCCAAAAGUGAUAAAACUCUAGCUCCGGCCUACCGCUUUGGCGGCGCCAGAGACUUCAUUCCUCUUUUCCCUAUCUUGUUUUUCUUUGCUUUACUCCUCCCAUCUCAAACCUUGUUGAUAUGUUUUCUUCUUUGAGUCAUCGGAUUCUCUCCCGGAGCUGUGCUUGAGGGAGACGACCACUGACCUUGUUUGGAGAGACGACGAGACUGUGGUGUGGCUGUGGAGUGGAGAGUCACCUUUUUAGGACCGAGGGUCAGGUCAGAUCUAAUUUUCUCCUUCUCAGAUCUUGGCCAAGACCUUCUCAACGGUGGCGCGUGAAGUGGGUUAGACGAAUCCUCUAUCCUGGAUGAACUCCCUGUUAUGGCGUUGAGAUGGGGUGAAUAGAGGUACGACGAGUUGUGUUAGAGGGUGAAUCCCUCGAAGCUUUGAACAAAGAUCCGCUCAUAUCACCAUCGUUGGGGUCCGUCUUUCAAUCCAAAUUCUUGUCCGGUUUUGGCCACAGAGAGAGACAAAGAUUGACGGCAGUAUGAAUCGAACCCGGAGCUUUCUGCAGUUUUGGACCUUCUGUCCGUUCGUGGCUGAAGACCGGAGCAGAAAACACCAGUGGAUAAAGCCUUUCUCGGGGUACAAAUACUAAAUGACAAAGAGCAGCUAACGGUCUAACAAUGACCUGUCUUAACAGCUGGAAAGGGGUACCAAUACUAAAUGACAAAGAGCAGCUAACGGUCUAACAAUGACCUGUCUUAACAGCUGGAAAGGUAAAGUGAAAGCUAAAAGCAGAAAUGAGAUAAGCAUCUUGCUUGGAUAUUCUUUUGUGAUAAGGAUGUCAUGGAUGACUCAUCCUAUGACAGACAACAUCAUAAAUCACAAACCCCACUACGCGGAGUCCAUCGCUCACAACGGCAAGUUACUUUUGGUAUCAUAACAUAUUUUAAAUUUUUAGUUUUUGUUUUCAUGAAUUUUUAAGAUAUAUUUGGAGUUUUGGAUAUAUUUUGACAGUAUUAUAUUUAAAUUUCUGGUUAUUCGAGUAUAUUUUUGCCCUUUGGUA